UACGGAGGGGGCUAGCGUUGUUCGGAAUUACUGGGCGUAAAGCGCACGUAGGCGGCUUUGUAAGUCAGAGGUGAAAGCCUGGAGCUCAACUCCAGAACUGCCUUUAAGACUGCAUCGCUUGAAUCCAGGAGAGGUUAGUGGAAUUCCGAGUGUAGAGGUGAAAUUCGUAGAUAUUCGGAAGAACACCAGUGGCGAAGGCGACUAACUGGACAUGUAUUGACGCUGAGGUGCGAAAGCGUGGGGAGCAAACAGG
rnacentral:rRNA from 1 species